rnacentral:rRNA from 1 species
UAUUACAAUGAAGAGUUUGAUCCUGGCUCAGGAUGAACGCUAGCUACAGGCUUAACACAUGCAAGUCGAGGGGCAGCAUGAAAGUUUGCUUGCAAACUUUUGAUGGCGACCGGCGCACGGGUGAGUAACACGUAUCCAACCUGCCUCAUACUCGGGGAUAGCCUUUCGAAAGAAAGAUUAAUACCCGAUGUCAUAGUCCUACCGCAUGAUGGGAUUAUUAAAGAAUUUCGGUAUGGGAUGGGGAUGCGUUCCAUUAGUUAGUUGGCGGGGUAACGGCCCACCAAGACAACGAUGGAUAGGGGUUCUGAGAGGAAGGUCCCCCACAUUGGAACUGAGACACGGUCCAAACUCCUACGGGAGGCAGCAGUGAGGAAUAUUGGUCAAUGGACGAGAGUCUGAACCAGCCAAGUAGCGUGAAGGAUGACUGCCCUA